rnacentral:rRNA from 1 species
AUUGAACGCUGGCGGCAUGCCUUACACAUGCAAGUCGAACGGUAACGGGCCUUCGGGUGCCGACGAGUGGCGAACGGGUGAGUAAUGCAUCGGAACGUACCUUUCAGUGGGGGAUAACGUAGCGAAAGUUACGCUAAUACCGCAUAUUCUGUGAGCAGGAAAGCAGGGGAUCGUAAGACCUUGCGCUGAUUGAGCGGCCGAUGUCAGAUUAGCUAGUUGGUGAGGUAAAGGCUCACCAAGGCGACGACCUGUAGCGGGUCUGAGAGGAGUCUCCGCCACACUGGAACUGAGACACGGUCCAGACUCCUAAGGGAGGCAGCAGUGGGGAAUGUUGGACAAGGGGGGCAACCCUGAUCCAGCCAUGCCGCGUGAGUGAAGAAGGCCUUCGGGUUGUAAAGCUCUUUCGGCCGGGAAGAAAUCGUAUGGGCUAAUACCCUGUGCGGAUGACGGUACCGGCAUAAGAAGCACCGGCUAACUACGUGCCAGCCGCCGCGGUAAAAC